GACGAACGCUGGCGGCGUGCCUAACACAUGCAAGUCGAGCGGGGAUUUAAGUGGAAGUUCUUCGGAAUGGAGAUUUAAAUUCUAGCGGCGGACGGGUGAGUAACGCGUGAACAAUCUGUCCCGGACAGGGGGAUAACACUUGGAAACAGGUGCUAAUACCGCAUAAGACCACGGCCUCGCAUGGGGCUGAGGUAAAAGGAGCAAUCCGGUUCGGGGUGAGUUCGCGUCCGAUUAGCUAGUUGGUGAGGUAACGGCCCACCAAGGCGACGAUCGGUAGCCGGCCUGAGAGGGUGAACGGCCACAUUGGAACUGAGAGACGGUCCAAACUCCUACGGGAGGCAGAAGUGGGGAAUAUUGGGCAAUGGGCGAAAGCCUGACCCAGCAACGCCGCGUGAGGGAAGAAGGUUUUCGGAUUGUAAACCUCUGUCCUAUGGGACGAAGGAAGUGACGGUACCAUAGGAGGAAGCCCCGGCUAACUACGUG
rnacentral:rRNA from 1 species